rnacentral:rRNA from 1 species
GACGAACGCUGGCGGCGUGCCUAAUACAUGCAAGUAGAACGCUGAAGGAGGAGCUUGCUCUUCUGGAUGAGUUGCGAACGGGUGAGUAACGCGUAGGUAACCUGCCUGGUAGCGGGGGAUAACUAUUGGAAACGAUAGCUAAUACCGCAUAAGAGUAGAUGUUGCAUGACAUUUGCUUAAAAGGUGCAAUUGCAUCACUACCAGAUGGACCUGCGUUGUAUUAGCUAGUUGGUGGGGUAACGGCUCACCAAGGCGACGAUACAUAGCCGACCUGGGAGGGGGGUCGGCCACACUGGGACUGGGACACGGCCCAGACUCCUACGGGAGGCAGCAGUAGGGAAUCUUCGGCAAUGGACGGAAGUCUGACCGAGCAACGCCGCGUGAGUGAAGAAGGUUUUCGGAUCGUAAAGCUCUGUUGUAAGAGAAGAACGAGUGUGAGAGUGGAAAGUUCACACUGUGACGGUAUCUUACCAGAAAGGGACGGCUAACUACGUG